GAGAAUGAAGCUGUCAACCUCCCUCCCAUUUCCAAUGGGAUUCCCGCAAAGUCAGCAGUAGGCCUACUGGAUCACCAUACCAGGGGCCAAAGCACAGCCCAAAGACUGCAGGAGCUGUUCUUCUACUCUCAGGGCCGGAGGGAUCACGGGCCCCUGGACAGAACCGUCAGGAAGAAGGUGUGGAAUCAGAGAUUUCCAGAAAACAGAUCCCAUAUUUGUAUGUUGUAAGAUGUAUAUGCUAAUAUAUUGUACGGUUUCCUUAAUUAUGUGAUAGAAAAACAUUUUAGGCCACCAGAGCGUUCCAUUAUCCAGAGUGAGUGUGGAAACACACCUGGAAAUCACUGCUCACCUUAAAUACCAUUUGCAUCAGCGUCAUUUGAAGGGAACCACUCAGAAUUCGUCUCUUGAAGAGAAAGAAGCUGCAGUGUUUCAGCAAACAAAAACUAUUGUGUUCAAGGACCAGGUUUCGUCAGACGGUCCUCCUGAUCUCCUGCAGAGCCUUCUGCCACUAGACGAGAAAGAGAAGGAAGAAAGAGAAUACAAAAAGGAAAAGAAAGAGGGAACAGUAAAUGUCCAAAAUGCAUCUUCAUGUACGGACGAGGCCCCGGAGGGCCAAGGCUCUCUGUCUGAGGGACCAUUUAGAGCUGCGGGUGUUGACUACAAACAAAGAUCAAAUGCAAGAGACCCAAAACUGCACGAUCAUUCUUCUCCAAACACCUUACAUGAUGACAAUAUUUCCUCAUUUCAUUUUAAACACAGGAGAUUCAUGAUCUAUCUAUGUGGUGGAUAUAAAGGUAAGGUGGAUAUAGAUUCUCUCAACAGCACAUAUACUUUACUAGAUCCUAGUUCCUGUGAUGGCAAAGCUGAAUUUUCAGUCUUUAGUGUCACAUCAUCUAGAUAAUUCAUUUCUGUCAUAUAUAAAAUUUUGAUUAAGCUAUACAUGACAUUUGUUGUGUGUGUAGAUACCGUCCCAGAGCGCAGUGCACUGAUGGAGAGUGUGUAUCCGCGUCUGUAUCUGCACUGUAAGCAGAGAGGAUAUGAUUUCAGGAUGAUAGACCUGCGUUCAGGAGCCGGAGAUCCUGUUUCGGACAAUCACGAUUUGGCAGAGAUGCACAUGGAGACACUUAGACGUUGUCAGGAGACUGAGGGGCCAACUUUUAUUGUAGGUUUUGUUGCACACAGAUCAUUCACCUUCCAAGAGAGUCUCAUGGGGGGGAAAUUGUAGUAUUUUUUAUCAAUAUUUAAGCCAUAGACUUUUUCCCUUUCUUGUAGGUGUUCACUGGACAGAAGCAUGAGAUACGGUCACUGCCGAAUACGAUUCCUCUAGCAGAUUUCGAAGCUAUUUUAAAAUUUGUGGAGAGGAGCAAGAAGAAGCUGUCUAGGAGGCAGUCAGACAUGGCAGACGAGUCACAGCUCAGUAUCGACACCGGUGACAGUGGGAGUUUCACCCUGGAGAAGGAACCCCGUUUGUUAGAGAAGGAGCCUUCGCAGAGUUCUGCCGUCAUGAGCGAGAACUCCAUCUCCAGCAGUUCCACGUCAGAUGGAGACGAGAUACAGCUGGCCAGGAGCUGGAUGGACUAUGACCAGGAUUUGACUCUCUUGCAGACAUGGUAUAAGCUGGAUAAAAACACAGUUCCUGCCGUGUACCGCUUACUUCCUGUCAGGUAAGUGCAUACUUUAGUGAUGUAAAUCUGCGUAUCACAUAAUAAGCUACAUUUUUUACUCUGGCAACUGUAUGUUGUUCUCUCAGAAUUCCCCCUUUAGUCAGGGAAGUGCCGUUUGUCAAUUGUUCACAGGUGUUCAAUUGAUUGUACUGUUGUUAAAUAUUCUCACAUAGCCAGACCUUUAGAGUCACAGCUGAAGGUCUGGAAUCCAUUGCAGCUUUCAUUGGCCAAGGCCCGCCCAUGAGGCCGUUUGACCGACAUGUCAAACAACCAAUCACAGUUUGUUUAGUUUCAACGUCACGUUUCGGACCUGUGUGUAAAACUCUCGGACGUAUUUUAAAGAUUCUAUGCCACGAACUUUAAAUAUUUGACAUACUUUUGAGAAUCUAGCGUUUAAUUGAUAUUGAUAAGCACUCCUCGUCAUCAAAGUUGCAAGCACAACGGCUUUCUUCUUUCAUGAGGGGGUUUGGCGUCACGGCAUCUUUGUUUCCAGGAAGAACGAUAAAGAACGUGACAUACACGUCUCCCGGAAAUCCUGUAGAAUUCAACCAAUCCAAAGACGACUUCAGAACUCCUGAAGUGAUUCCACUUUUGUGUGCCGUAUGCAUCAGACGUUCAACCAGCGGUCCGUGGUUGAGACUAGUUGUUUAACAACACACCGAUUGUUCAGCUGAGGAAAAGACUGGCUGAAAAUAAAACUAUCAGUAGACAAAACUCCA
ensembl:lncRNA